GAUGAAGAACGUAGCGAAAUGCGAUAAGUAAUGCGAAUUGCAGAAUUCCAGUGAGUCAUCGAAUCUUUGAACGCACAUUGCGCCCUUUGGUAUUCCGAAGGGCAUGCCUGUUCGAGCGUCAUUAUCACCCCUCAAGCCCUCGGCUUGGUGUUGGACGGUUUGGUGGAGGACCCCCUUUGCGGGCUUCUACCCCUCCCAAAGACAAUGACGGCGGCCUCGUUGGACCCCCGGUACACUGAGUUCUUCACGGGACACGUAUCGGACACACGGGUUUACGGGACACGGUCUGCCUCCCCUCAGGGAGAAUCUCUUUUUAUCAAGGUUGACCUCGGAUCAGGUAGGGAUACCCGCUGAACUUAAGCAUAUCAAUAAGCGGAGGA
rnacentral:misc_RNA from 1 species